AUCAGCUACAGCGCUGCCAUCAGUGCAUGCGCGAAAGGGAAGCAGCCGGAGCGGGCAUUGGAGCUGCUCGGGGGCAUGCGGCGGCAGGGGC
rnacentral:SRP_RNA from 12 species